AAUAGUAAUAGUAGUAGCAAUAGCAGUAGUGGCAGCUGUAACAGUAGUACCUGGUGUAACAAUAGUAGCUGCAAAAGAUGUAACAGUAGUAGUAGUAGCAGUAGUAUUAGUAGUAGUAGUAGCAUUAGUAAUAAUAGUAGUAGAAGUAGUAGUACCUAUAAAUACCCAUGUACUUGAAAGCUUUUAACAUCAACGACAAAUCAAAACUUGAGUUUUUCAAUUAGUCUUUCUUAUUUCUUACUCUCAUAU
rnacentral:lncRNA from 1 species